rnacentral:rRNA from 1 species
CUAUAUCGGUGGUGUCCACCUCUUCCCAUUCCGAACAGAGAAGUUAAGCCCACCAGAGCCGAUGGUACUGCGGUAACACGUGGGAGAGUAGGUCGGUGCCAAAU